rnacentral:lncRNA from 1 species
GGCUCUUGUAGGAGCUUGGAUGAAAUUCGGAAGGCAGUCGACCACUGUAGAAACUUGGAUGGAGUCUGGUUACUGUAGAAGUCCUGCUGCUGGAGAAGCUCAGUCAUUGAUGAAGUCCGAAAGAAGUUCGGAGUAAAGUCGAUCAUGGCUGGAAGAAGUCUGAAAGAGAUUCGGAGAGUAGUCGAUCACUGUAGAAAAUCGACUGAUAGUGAAGCUCAGAGAGCAUUUGGAGCAGUCCGGUAGAUGAAUGGAGGAGCUCAUUUUUGGAGAAGUCCGGAUGGCAUGAUAGGAGUUCGUCCGUUGGAGGAAUUUGGAGGACACUGUGGAAGGUCGACUGCUGGGAGAGUCCAGAUGGUAUUAUGGAAGCUCGGAUAGCUGGGGGAGUUCAGAAAGACACCGCACA